GACGGAGGGGGCUAGCGUUGUUCGGAAUGACUGGGCGUAAAGGGCGCGUAGGCGGUUUUUUAAGUGAGGCGUGAAAGCCCUGGGCUUAACCCAGGAGGUGCGUUUCAUACUGGAAGACUUGAGUGCGAGAGAGGAAAGUGGAAUUCCUAGUGUAGAGGUGAAAUUCGUAGAUAUUAGGAAGAACACCUGUGGCGAAGGCGGCUUUCUGGCUCGCAACUGACGCUGAGGCGCGAAAGCGUGGGGAGCAAACAGG
rnacentral:rRNA from 1 species